rfam:Ciona savignyi cont_48838, whole genome shotgun sequence.
GCCCGGUUAGCUCACCCGGUAGAGCGUUGGAUUUUAAUCCACCGGUCAAGGCUUGAAGUCCCUUAUUGGCCU